AAAAUAAAAGAAGAAGAAGAAGAAGAAGACUAUAUCCACAGAUCCUGCUGAAGGAAUUGAACAUUCAAGUGAUAUAUAUGUGAUGAUAUAAUUAAUAAAAUCUAUUCAGUUAAGGUUAUUUAGUGAAAUGCAUUGAGUAAAUAUCUCAAUCGUAAAAGGACGUUAAAAAUUCGGAAAAAUCAUUGUCGUCUCAUGAGUCGAUUGUAUUGGAUAAAUAGUGUGCGAUUAACCUAAAAAAAAAAAAAUUCAGUGGCGUAUGCUUGGGGUGAUUUAGACACACGAUAAGGAAAUAUCAUCUGUCAAUUUACUGGAAUCUUUUGAAUUGUCAUCUAAUAAAAUUCAUUGACGUGAUAACUUUGUAAGAAUUUUGCUUUAAUAUUUAUGGUUUCACUCAGCAGGCUUUGACGUUGGAAAAUCGAAAAAUAUUAUAUUUAUUAUAUAUAUUAGAUUAACUUAGAAAUUAUACUCUUAAUUCAUGUAAAAUAAUAAAAUGAAUA